rnacentral:rRNA from 1 species
AGCACCUUCGGGUGUGACUGCGUACCUUUUGUAUAAUGGGUCAGCGACUUAUAUUCUGUAGCAAGGUUAACCGUAUAGGGGAGCCGCAGGGAAACCGAGUCUUAACUGGGCGUUAAGUUGCAGGGUAUAGACCCGAAACCCGGUGAUCUAGCCAUGGGCAGGUUGAAGGUUGGGUAACACUAACUGGAGGACCGAACCGACUAAUGUUGAAAAAUUAGCGGAUGACUUGUGGCUGGGGGUGAAAGGCCAAUCAAACCGGGAGAUAGCUGGUUCUCCCCGAAAGCUAUUUAGGUAGCGCCUCGUGAAUUCAUCUUCGGGGGUAGAGCACUGUUUCGGCUAGGGGGUCAUCCCGACUUACCAACCCGAUGCAAACUACGAAUACCGAAGAAUGUUAUCACGGGAGACACACGGCGGGUGCUAACGUCCGUCGUGAAGAGGGAAACAACCCAGACCGCCAGCUAAGGUCCCAAAGUCAUGGUUAAGUGGGAAACGAUGUGGGAAGGCACAGACAGCCAGGAUGUUGGCUUAGAAGCAGCCAUCAUUUAAAGAAAGCGUAAUAGCUCACUGGUCGAGUCGGCCUGCGCGGAAGAUGUAACGGGGCUAAACCAUGCACCGAAGCUGCGGCAGCGACACUAUGUGUUGUUGGGUAGGGGAGCGUUCUGUAAGCCUGCGAAGGUGUGCUGUGAGGCAUGCUGGAGGUAUCAGAAGUGCGAAUGCUGACAUAAGUAACGAUAAAGCGGGUGAAAAGCCCGCUCGCCGGAAGACCAAGGGUUCCUGUCCAACGUUAAUCGGGGCAGGGUGAGUCGACCCCUAAGGCGAGGCCGAAAGGCGUAGUCGAUGGGAAACAGGUUAAUAUUCCUGUACUUGGUGUUACUGCGAAGGGGGGACGGAGAAGGCUAUGUUAGCCGGGCGACGGUUGUCCCGGUUUAAGCAUGUAGGCUGGUUAUCCAGGCAAAUCCGGAUAAUCAAGGCUGAGGUGUGAUGACGAGGUACUACGGUGCUGAAGUAACAAAUGCCCUGCUUCCAGGAAAAGCCUCUAAGCAUCAGGUAACAUCAAAUCGUACCCCAAACCGACACAGGUGGUCAGGUAGAGAAUACCAAGGCGCUUGAGAGAACUCGGGUGAAGGAACUAGGCAAAAUGGUGCCGUAACUUCGGGAGAAGGCACGCUGGUGUGUAGGUGAAGUCCCUGCGG